GGCUCGGUGGCGUAAUGGUAACGUACUCCGUAAGACUGGUUGUGUUUGCUGCAAAGGCUUUGCGGAGGGUCCGGAGUUCAAUUCUUCAUUGGGCCU